UCAACCUCUCUCCAGCUGUUUUUUUCCCCUUGUUUUCUUUGCAGAACAAUCUGCACUCCAAAAAGAAAGGACACGAAGGGAGAAGAUCAGAAAGAAGAAGCGCCUACAGACUGGAUAAGUCAAGAACAAACUGAACUGAAGCUACAAAGCAACUUGAAAACCAAAGAGCCAAGUGAAAAGCAUCACCUCUUGACAGCAGGGAGAGAUCCAGAAGAAGCUGAUAAGCCUGCUGCGGGAUGCACCAUUUGAAUUAUAGCUACAA
rnacentral:lncRNA from 1 species